rnacentral:tRNA from 1 species
GCCCGGGUGGCGAAAUCGGUAGACGCAGCGGACUUAAAAUCCGCCUUCUGGAAACGGAAGUACGGGUUCGAGUCCCGUCCCGGGCACCA